rnacentral:rRNA from 1 species
AUUGAACGCUGGCGGCAGGCCUAACACAUGCAAGUCGAGCGGAUGAAGGGAGCUUGCUCCUGGAUUCAGCGGCGGACGGGUGAGUAAUGCCUAGGAAUCUGCCUGGUAGUGGGGGAUAACGUCCGGAAACGGGCGCUAAUACCGCAUACGUCCUGAGGGAGAAAGUGGGGGAUCUUCGGACCUCACGCUAUCAGAUGAGCCUAGGUCGGAUUAGCUAGUUGGUGGGGUAAAGGCCUACCAAGGCGACGAUCCGUAACUGGUCUGAGAGGAUGAUCAGUCACACUGGAACUGAGACACGGUCAAGACUCAUACGGGAGGCAGCAGUGGGGAAUAUUGGACAAUGGGCGAAAGCCUGAUCCAGCCAUGCCGCGUGUGUGAAGAAGGUCUUCGGAUUGUAAAGCACUUUAAGUUGGGAGGAAGGGCAGUAAGUUAAUACCUUGCUGUUUUGACGUUACCAACAGAAUAAGCACCGGCUAACUUCGUG